rnacentral:rRNA from 1 species
CAGUAGCCGCGGUAAUACGAAGGGGGCUAGCGUUGCUCGGAAUCACUGGGCGUAAAGGGUGCGUAGGCGGGUCUUUAAGUCAGAGGUGAAAUCCCGGAGCUCAACUCCAGAACUGCCUUUGAUACUGAGGAUCUUGAGUUCGGGAGAGGUGAGUGGAACUGCGAGUGUAGAGGUGAAAUUCGUAGAUAUUCGCAAGAACACCAGUGGCGAAGGCGGCUCACUGGCCCGAUACUGACGCUGAGGCACGAAAGCGUGGGGAGCAAACAGGAUUAGAUACCCGGGUAGUCCCUGUCUCUUAUAC